UUUCCGUAGGUGAACCUGCGGAAGGAUCAUUAAAGAG
rnacentral:rRNA from 1 species